UUUUUUAAAAAAAGAAUAUACCAUUGGGAAAAAAAUUCAAGACUAGGGCGCGAACACAGGGCGCCGGGAUUGCAGAGGAGCCUCAGAGGACUACGCUUCCCAGGAGGCUCUGCGCUGACUGCCCCGGCCUCCCGACAGGCUCCGCGCGCUUUCCGCGCCAGCUUUGGCCUCAGCCCGCGAGCGCGGGGGGUAGCGAAGAACAAUGCAGAGCGGCGAUGAGCAAGCCCUCGACAAGCGGCGCGUCCACCUGCGCCCUGUUACGCUGCGCGAUCCGGUCCCCGUCUCGCUGCACCUUCUGCCCUGCGAGGUGCCGGUUAACCGGCCGGCCCCCGUGGGGCGCUUCUUCACCCCUGCCAUCCGCCAGGGUCCCGACGGACUGGAAGCGUCGUUCCGGGGCCGCAGUCUCCGCGGCGAGGAGGUGGUGGUGCCGCCCGGCUUUGUGGGUUACGUGAUGAUAGAAGAGAAGGGAGAGGUGUCGCUGGGGAAGCAGGAAGAUGACAGCGAGCAAGAGGAGCAGGAACCGGUGGAACCCCCGGAGGCGCUGGAGCGGGACUUCGACCGCUUUAUUGAAGCCACAGGCGGCUUUAGCAGCUUCACCCUGUGGGGCCUAGAGACAGUCCCCGGUCCGGAUGCCAAAGUGCGUGGGGCCCUAACCUGGCCCAGCCUCGCUGCAGCGAGUAUCUGGGCCACCCAGUCACUACGCUGAAGAAAUCCAAUAGUAGAGGUGAUUCCUGUUGCAGAUUCACGCACAGGUACCUGAGGACUGAGAACCAGAGCUUGAAACUGAAAGUCACUGAUCCCUUCACCCCAAUAAAUCGCUUCUUCACUUUGGAGCCUGAUUCCGUCACCCCAAUAAAGGAGCUCUUCACAGAACCUGUCAGUUUGCCAGCACCUUGGAGCCCGGCCCUGAGAUGUCUCCAGUACUUCUACAAGCCCUUCUUCACCCUCAGUCGUAACAAGCCUUGUGCUGGAUUGUAGCCCUUUCUGUCCUCCCCUGAUUCGUCUUUACUAGCCAGUGUGACCCUCUUGCCCAACUUCCUGUGGCCUCCACCAAGCAGCCGGUGGGGAGAGUAGAGAGGCUUGUGCUUUGGAGGAAGGACGCAUGGAAGAGGAAAGGGGCACGCCUGAGUUCUUAUGCAGCUUUGCUGGGAGUGCAUGCAGAGUCCUGACAGAUCCCCUGGAGGCCACGCUUGCCACCUCAGCUGCUGGAACUCCUAGCCCCUCCCAGUAAACACCCACCCACCCUCUGAAGCUGCCUGGAAUGCUGCUUCUGGUGUCCUGCCUGCUCCUGCUGGGCACAUCUCCUCGGUGGCCCUGCACACAUCCCAUUUCCACUGAGGUCCGAGCUCCAAGACUUAGACCGAGUUGAAGCAUCCACCUGCUCUACCAGGCAGAGGGCUUCCUGAGGAUGUGACCCCCAUCUUGGCAUCUCUCUACCAAUAAAAUGUC